AGUGAACGCUGGCGGUAGGCCUAACACAUGCAAGUCGAACGGCAGCACAGUAAGAGCUUGCUCUUACGGGUGGCGAGUGGCGGACGGGUGAGGAAUACAUCGGAAUCUACUUUUUCGUGGGGGAUAACGUAGGGAAACUUACGCUAAUACCGCAUACGACCUACGGGUGAAAGCAGGGGAUCUUCGGACCUUGCGCGAUUGAAUGAGCCGAUGUCGGAUUAGCUAGUUGGCGGGGUAAAGGCCCACCAAGGCGACGAUCCGUAGCCGGUCUGAGAGGAUGAUCAGCCACACUGGAACUGAGACACGGUCCAGACUCCUACGGGAGGCAGCAGUGGGGAAUAUAGGACAAUGGGCGCAAGCCUGAUCCAGCCAUACCGCGUGGGUGAAGAAGGCCUUCGGGUUGUAAAGCCCUUUUGUUGGGAAAGAAAAGCAGCAGGUUAAUACCCCGCUGUUCUGACGGUACCCAAAGAAUAAGCACCGGCUAACUUCGUG
rnacentral:rRNA from 1 species